CUGGGGUUGCAGCUCAGUGGUCGAGUGCUUGCCUCGCAUGCAUGAGGCACUGAGUUCAAUCCUCGGUACCACAUA
rnacentral:tRNA from 1 species